UACAAUGCACGCUUCUGCGAA
rnacentral:piRNA from 1 species